rnacentral:tRNA from 1 species
GGGAGGCAAGUGUGCUGGUGUGCGCCUUGGGCUUCAAACCCAAAGAAGGGCUAGGUGUCUAGCUCUUGGGGAGUUCGAUUCUCUCGCCUUCUCGCCA